AGGUGGUGCAGUGGUUGUCGUCAGCUCGUGUCGUGAGAUGGUUGGGUUAACGUCCCGACAACGGGCGCAACCCUUGUGUUUAGUUGCAAACAGGUCAAGCUGUGCACUCUAGACAGACUGCCGUGGACAACACGGAGGAAGGUGGGGAUGACGUCAAAUCAUCAUGCCCCUUAUGAUCUGGGCUACACACGUGCUACAAUGGCCGGUACAACGGGCAGCGAAGGAGCGAUCCGGAGCGAAUCCUAAAAAGCCGGUCCCAGUUCGGAUUGCAGGCUGAAACUCGCCUACAUGAAGUUGGAGUUGCUAGUAAUCGCGAAUCAGAAUGUCGCGGUGAAUGCGUUCCCGGGUCUU
rnacentral:rRNA from 1 species